UACGUAGGGGGCAAGCGUUGUCCGGAAUUACUGGGCGUAAAGGGUGCGUAGGCGGUUGCCUAAGUCAGAUGUGAAAUCCCCGGGCUCAACUCGGGUGGUGCAUUUGAAACUGGGUAACUAGAGUGCAGGAGAGGGAAGCGGAAUUCCUAGUGUAGCGGUGAAAUGCGUAGAUAUUAGGAGGAACACCAGUGGCGAAGGCGGCUUUCUGGACUGUAACUGACGCUGAGGCACGAAAGCGUGGGGAGCAAACAGGAUUAGAUACCCUGGUAGUCCACGCUGUAAACGAUGGAUACUAGGUGUAGGGGGCGUAGAGCCCUCUGUGCCGCAGCUAACGCAAUAAGUAUCCCGCCUGGGGAGUACGGCCGCAAGGUUGAA
rnacentral:rRNA from 1 species